rnacentral:rRNA from 1 species
AACGUAGGAGGCAAGCGUUAUCCGGAGUUACUGGGCGUAAAGAGUGCGUAGGCGGAUUGAUAAGUGGGUGGUGAAAGUGCCCGGCUAAACCGGGCGAGGUCCAUUCAGACUGUCAGUCUAGAGGCGGAUAGAGGGGUGCGGAAUUCCGGGUGUAGCGGUGAAAUGCGCAGAUAUCAGGAGGAACACCGGUGGCGAAGGCGGGUCUCUGGGCCGAAACUGACGCUGAGGAGCGAAAGCGUGGGGAGCAAACAGG